rnacentral:rRNA from 1 species
AUUGAACGCUGGCGGCAUGCUUUACACAUGCAAGUCGAACGGCAGCGCGGGGCAACCUGGCGGCGAGUGGCGAACGGGUGAGUAAUAUAUCGGAACGUACCCAGAAAUGGGGGAUAACGUAGCGAAAGUUACGCUAAUACCGCAUACGAUCUACGGAUGAAAGUAGGGGACCGCAAGGCCUUAUGCUUUUGGAGCGGCCGAUAUCUGAUUAGCUAGUUGGUGAGGUAAAGGCUCACCAAGGCGACGAUCAGUAGCUGGUCUGAGAGGACGACCAGCCACACUGGAACUGAGACACGGUCCAGACUCCUACGGGAGGCAGCAGUGGGGAAUUUUGGACAAUGGGCGCAAGCCUGAUCCAGCAAUGCCGCGUGAGUGAAGAAGGCCUUCGGGUUGUAAAGCUCUUUUGUCAGGGAAGAAACGGUAGAGGCUAAUAUCCUUUGCUAAUGACGGUACCUGAAGAAUAAGCACCGGCUAACUACGUG